UUUCCAACGCACUAAAAUGUUGGCAGAAAAUCUCUUUGAUUUUAUUUUUAUGUUCUUGACUACUGACCUGUCCCUGUGGAAAGCUCCAGGUUUAAGAAUAUGGGCCUAGGAUCUGCAUUUGAUGUGACCUAGAUUUUGACCUCAUUUUCCUUUUCAAUCUUUGGUCAACAGGUUUCAGACAAACUACGAAGUCUGAGACUUAGAUUUUGACCUUGGCAUUACUUUCCAUUUGCCGAAUUUGGGAUAGGGUCAGGUGGCAGAAAGGCUGUUUGAAAUACAAUUUUUGGAAAGAUGUCCAUUAAAAGAACUAGUGCUGGUGAUUCUGAUUGGAGUCACUGGAUUUCUGGAGGCUGAGAUUUCCGUCUGGGUUUUGUGCCAUGUUAUUUCCCACUCUGGUAUUCCAUUCCUAAUGUGUGCAAUGAUCUAACUUUUGAAAGUGAUGUCUGUGUGGCUGUGAUCGACAUCAUUAUUGGAGAAAGCUGCACACGUCAAAGAACUGAGGCCAGCCAUUGGCCAAUAGCCAGCAAGAAAAUGAUGCCUUCAGAUAGCCCACAGGCAACUGAAAUCCAACAACAGGGGCGAGAACAUUUUCAUGUCCUACUUAAGAAGUCUGUCUCUGAACAAGCACUGGAGAUUGGGCCACCUGCUAUAACCACCUAGCCACACUAUCCCUCUGAGAUGGGUGCGACCUACCAAGACGCCAGUCAUAUGCUGACUGCAAGACACAAUGAAGUGGUUUACACCCUCUUUGGCAGGAAGAAGAAACCCCUAACAAGAUGCUGGCUGCCUCCCCAUAAUUAAAGAGACCUGAAGAGAAUUUAUUUGGAAGAAAACUGAUGGGAAACAAAGGUCAUGUGUAAUUGAGACAUCUAAAACUUCAAAGAUGCUAUUUGAAAAAUUGAGACAAUUGAAGAAAUUAGAAUAUGGAUUACAAAUUAAUUACAUCUUAAGUUUCCUGGUUUUUA